rnacentral:rRNA from 1 species
GACGAACGCUGGCGGCGUGCCUAAUACAUGCAAGUAGAACGCAGUUGCGAACGGGUGAGUAACGCGUAGGUAACUGCCUCAUAGCGGGGGAUAACUAUUGGAAACGAUAGCUAAUACCGCAUACUGUGAGAUGGACCUGCGUUGUAUUAGCUAGUUGGUGAGGUAAAGGCUCACCAAGGCGACGAUACAUAGCCGACCUGAGAGGGUGAUCGGCGAGACUGAGACUGAGACGAGGCCCAGAAUCAUACGGGAGGAAGCAGUAGGGAAACUUCGGGAAUGAACGGAAGUGUGAGCGAGCGACGCGGCGUGAGUGAAGAAGGUUAUCGGAUCGUAAAGGUAGGUUGAUAGAGAGGCGGUAAAUAGCCAGAAAGGGACGGCUAACAACGUGACAGCCGCCGCGGUAAUAC